rnacentral:lncRNA from 1 species
GGAGCCUCUGGCCUUUGUUAGUCUUGUAUUAUUUUAAUUUUAGUUUCUUGUGUACAAUUUGGAAAUUAGUAUGGAGUUCAUUAUCACUGAACUAGUAUAUAUUUGUUUAGGGGCCAGCUGAAGAACGCCUCCGGGUGCGGGAAUUUUUCGCUACAUUGAAGACCUGUUGGUGACCUUCUGCUGUUGUUUUUGUUUUUUUUUUUCUAUGGUCAGGUUGUUGUCUCUUUGGCACAUUCCCCAUUUCCAUUCUCAAUUUUACAAUUAUAUAAUAUAAACUAUAUAUAUCUUUGUAACUGGCCAAUAUAUGAGACAGUAAACAAAAUGAAUAAUGCUUUAUAACAAUUUAAAAAAAAACGUGUUACCAGUAAAACAAAGACAUUUAUAUGGUCUAACAAAAAAAAUCUAAUUUUACACCAUAUCUGUUAAAACAGAAAAAAAGCUUAAACAAAUUAAUUAAGAAUGUGUCCACAGUACAUGGAUGCCCCACUCCCACUAUCAUUUUUUAUGUUCAGUGGGCCGUGAAAUUGGGGUAAAAAUCUAAUUUGGGAUUAAAAUUUAGAAAGAUCAUAUCAAAGAGAACAUGUGUAAUAAGUUUCAAGUUGAUUGGACUUCAACUUCAUCAAAAACUACCUUGACCAAAAACUUUAACUUGAAACAGGAUGAAAGGACCGACGGACGCACAGACCAGAAAACAUAAUGCCCCCCUACUAUCGUAGGUGGGGCAUGUGGGGCAUAAAAAUACAACAAUCUAUACCUGUUUUCAGUAUAAAUGUGUUUAUAUUAGGGCUAUUCCAGAAAAAAUGUAGGGGGGGGGGGGUUUGGAAGGCACAUUAUAUUAAUAAUACAUGGGUGAUGGGUAUUGGAGCAACUUUUCACACUAUAAUGCACUAUAAUUCUCAAUUACAAUUGUCUGGGUGGCGGGUGCUGACAAAAACUGCCUUCCAACCCCCCCCCCAUACAUUUUUUUCUGGAAUAGCCCUUAGUUCUACUUGUAAUAUUAUUAAAAAAGAUCAACAACAAAAAAUGGCCAAAGGCAACAAUGAGUCUUCAACAUAGAGAGAAAACCCAUACACUGAAAAGUAUUUCUGGCACUUGAACCAAGUCAUAUGAUAUGAAUCAG